AUGUUGUUGCUGCUCUGUGUGGGUCCAGAGAGGGGUGCCCAGAUGAAUGGUCACUGCAGAAAAUUUGGGCGAGAGAGGCGGCUAAGCAGCGAAUCUGAGAGAUCACCAUCCCAGGGUACAGACACUUACAGGGAGGAGGAUGAGGAGGAGAAUGUGGGCCGCAGGACAAUGAAAAGGAAGACUGCCAGGGCGGCCGUCAACAAGAUGAAGCUUCUGGAAGCCUCUGAGGGAAACUAUGGUUCAGCCUCUGAGGAAGAGGACAAACAUAGGAGGAAAAGCAGCCGCCAUGCGACCCGAGUCAGCAAACGCACUGCCGUGAGCCAGAGCAGCUCUGAAUCAGAGGAGCAGUCAUCAGCACAGAGUUCUAAAAAAGACAAGGAUUCAUUGGGUGAUUGGGAGAACAAUGAGGACAGUAUUGAGAGUGAAGCUUCAUCCUUUCGUUGCCAUCAGAAUGGAGAGAGUAAGAACUCCAACAGCCGCAGGACGACCAGACAAGCUGCAGAGACGGAUGAUGAGACAAAUCAUGUAAAUGGGCACAGCACAAAACAUGACAGUACUUCUGAGGAGGAGGAGAGCUCUGAUGGUGAAGAAGAGGAAGAAGCUGUUGCGUCUCAGAAGUCCUCCAGAAGCUUGACAACCACUGCAGUGAGCAAAAUUAGAACUUGCAUUACCAGUUAUAUGGCGGAAGAGAAGUCUGGCUCCAGAAAGAGACAACACAAACCUCUGGCAAGCUCUGACGAGGAAUACCGAGAACACUAUGCUCAAAAGCACCCUCACCAAAACGGGAGAAAGGUGGAGAAAGAACAAGCUGAAGGCUCUGAGAAAAAUUGUAAAUUGCAUUCAAAAAGCCAAGAACAAACAUCUGCCUCAACCCACAAACAGGAUGGCCCUGAAUCAGAGGAACUCCGUGACACUCCAAAGAGAUCAAACUCUCGCAAAAAAAGAGUGAGGUCUGAAGAGGAGGAGGAGGAAGAAGACAGCAACCACUCAGAUAAUGAAUCAAAGGGAGAAUCCAAUAAACGUCAGUUGCGAAACAACAACAAACCCAAAAGACAGAGUCACAAUGACUCAGUUUCAGAGAGCGAGGAGGAAGUUGUACCCAACAGGAGAGCAAGGAGAAAACUGCAUGCUUCCUCAGAGGAAGAAUCUGAUGGGAAGGAGAAGCAUAGUCCUAGCAGGCGGCCUUGCCUUCGAGCCCAACCAAAAAAGAAAUACAUCAAUGAAGACUCUGAGGAGGACCUGAACUCUGAGAUGCAAGGCAGCUGUAAGAAUGGAAAUAGCAAUGCUGUUUCAGAUAAAGGACAUCAACGCAACCAAAAAGCUUCCCCAGCUACUACAAAACAGUCCCCUUCCAAGAGAAAACGCAUUUACACCUCAGACUCCUCAGACAACCCUUAUGAAAAGAAACAGUGCAUGCCCAAGGCUAAGAGCUACUGCGAAGAUGAGGACAAGGGGGAAACAAAAAGAUCCAACUACAAGUAUCCCAAGAAGGAAUCUAGAUCCAAGUCUGAACCCGAGGACUGUAGUAGUCAGGAAGACACCUCUUCCCACCAAGGGUCAGAGGAUGAGAAGGAGGUUGAGUGUCCAAGGGGGAAGAGACGUUUGGAGCGACAGAAACGCAAGCGACAGGAACGCUGCAGCAGCAGUGCCCACAGUUCUGCCUCUAAAAGCGAGGAGGACGAAGAGUCCUCUGCCAGCUCAGGGUCCCAGAGCAGUCCAAAGAGAAAAAAACACAACAGGAGGUCAAGGGUCAGCAACAAGGGUGCCACCCGACAACGCCGGAGGGACCCCUCUGAGGCAGACAGUGACCAGUCGUACGCAGAAUUCCAGAGAGGAGCGUGUGGCACGCGUAUCAAGACCCGAAACCGUGGCAAACGAACGGUGACAUAUCACGACAGCGAAUGAAGGCGUAGCGAAAGAGACUAACUGGAGACCUUGAAGACACUUGAUCGCCACAUUAAAGGUAGUAGCACUGGAGCUUUUUCAAGAGGAAAUGCUGUGAAUCUGUUUCAUUCAGGGAUAUUUAUAUUUUCUAUGAAAAAAAAAAAAAAUGAAAAAAGAAGAGUAGUUUAUAAAAUAUAGCGCAAACCACCUCCCAUUCUGCUUUUGUGAUUUGGCCAGCUAAAUAACUGUUCGGGGGAGCAUUGUCAGCUUGGGUGCUAUCUUAAUAUACCUCUGUUUAAUCAAGCAUAUUUUGCUGGCUUGCACUAAGAAACACACUGUAGAGGUAUUUCAUACACUAGUUUCACAUUAGGAACUCAGGGGUCAACUAAGUUUACUGUAGUCUCAGCCAUUCAGUCUUGGGAGCUAGAGUAGGUAGGGACAAUAAACAUUUCCAGGAUGGCAGUUUCAGUCCAAGCACACUUACUGAGACAAAACUAAUCCACUUCACCCUCCUUUGACUUCAAGUCCUUUGUAAAUCCACAUUAAUUAUCCUUUACUGUAUUGUGAGGUGACUUGUUGAUAUGAGCCAAAAUGUACAAAUUUGAAUUCCUAGUUUUCCUCCCCUUUGUUUUAAUUUUUUUUUGGGGGGGGGGGGAGAUAUGUGUGGUGUGUAUUCUAGUCAUGGAAUGAGGUGUAAAUAUAUGGGAUUGAGAAUGGCAUCUUUUGAAAGGUUUCUGAGGAUCACUCUGUAGCAAAUGAUUGCUUGUUUAAAUUUGAGCAUUAAUUUUCCUUUCAUGUCAUGACAAUGCAUUGUCUUGCCACAUGUCACAAAUUGGUACCCUUUUGCCAAGUACAGGAAACCAAAAAGUACUUAUUGCAAAAUACUGUGAUUUCUCAUAUUGGGAAGACAUUCUAGUGGUGUUCUGUGUUAUGUACUCUCAGUAUUACAUUUAUUUUCAGAGAGAACUUGACUGCAUUUAACUUUUUGCCAGUCACAAUUUAGUUGUGUGUGUUGCGGCGGUCUUGAACUGCAAUUGCAUUGACAUGUUUGCUAAAUGUUUUUCAUACACUUUGAUACAAACAUUUCAUAGGAAAAUGUUACUGGUACUCCGUAUGGUUGUGGAGUGCAAGAGGGCUGUUUUUUUUCUUUUCUUCUGGUUAAUAAAGACAUACAUUCAAGGCUCACUUUGUAUGUGUUAUCAAUUUCAUAUGCAUUCUUAACCUUUCCUUAAACUGAACAAAAAUAUAAACACAACUUCAAAGAUUUUGCUGCGAUACAGUUCAUAUAAGAGAAUCAGUCAAUUUAAAUCAAUUCCAUUAGACCCUAAUCUAUAGAUUUCACAUGACUGGGCAGGGGCGCAGCCAUGGAUGGGCAGUCAAUCAGAAUAAGUUUUUCCCCACAAAAGGGCUUUAUUAUAGCCAUAAAUACUCACUAACAUUUUAGAGACAUAAGCUUUUUGUGCGUAUGGAACAUUGCUGAGAUCUUUUAUUUCAGCUCAUAACACAUGGG
rnacentral:lncRNA from 1 species